GUGGAUAGUAGAUCUCUAUCAUGUUUUUACGCAUCAUUUCGUAUUUCUCUUUUCUUGAAAUCGCUGUCGCGUGGAUUCUUGCAUCUCUCUCUUUCCAUCUGUGUCUUCAUCCGUUAAUAAUCUCGGGUGCUACUUUUUUUUAUCGGGGCGUAUCUUCCGUCAUGACGAACACGAAUUUUUCUAAUCUUCAGACUCAACGAUGCUCAUCAGAAGAGAGUACGAACUGUCGAGGGCUGUCGCGUAUACGAGGAGUCGUAGAAAUUCAACGAUAUUGCUGUCACCACUUCUGUCGCCGUUCUAAGAUGGAUUCUCAAACCAAGAACGAAUAGCUUUUAUUGUUGGACGACGGAAGAAAAUUGUGGCACUUUUCUACGAUCUUUAAUUUACUGACGGAAUAGUUGGCGUAAAAGGAAGACCUGUUGAAGAGAGGAACGGGAAAGAGAGCAACGUUGAAACCGGGACAGUGACCCAGCCGUUGGAAACUCAUAACGACUGGAAAUGGUAGCGGGAGAAAAGAGGGAAAUCUUUCAGAUCCGAUAUUAUGGAAAAGCAACUCGAGGCUCUGAACAUCGAUGAUUCCUUCGAAUCGGAUCAAGAAUCAUCGCGUACUAAAAUAAUCAGGACGUUCAGUUUUCCAUCCAGCCAAGUCCAUUUUUGCAAAACUUCCAAAGAAUUAAAAUUAUCCACGUUGGAUAAGCACUACAGCGAGCAAAUACUAUAUCCGAAUAUUUACGCUAGGGAGCCCGCAUUAUUGGAGAUGCAAACAAAAAGAGCAGAAUGUAUCUUUUAUAACAACAGCAAAGUUCCGGAACAUUUUUGGCAUCCGAGGAUCGAUAAUGUGCCAUCUACAUCCGCACUUACACCUGCAGACGAUCCUGUGGAAUAUAUGGAAAUAGAGAAAUAUCCAGAUUCAACGAAACAUGAUACAACAUCGUUCACACCUAUGUUAGCAGUCGAUCAAACAGAGGUUAUGGAAGUAGAAAAAUUUAUGAAACCUAGGGAUCCUGCAGAAUGUAUGGACCUAUCGAAAUCGAUCUCUAUGGAAUCAUUAUCGUUUGCUGCUGUCCAACAAGCACAUACAAAUAUGUUGAAGUCUGCCUUUGAUUUAGAAUCCAAGCCUUCGGAAACAAACGAAGAUAUUACAAAACUGAUUCCUACGAGACGAAAAUUCAGAAAGACUAGUGAGAUUCAAGAAAAUAAUCUAGAUCAUAUAAAUGAAAACAACGAAGACAAGAAACAGAAAAAUUAUCAGGAUACGAAAAAAAAAAUCCAUUCGAAAAAUGCUUCGCAAUAUUCAAAAAUCAAAACAGCACUUUGCAUCAUAUGUUUUGUAAUAAUUUUAAUAUUCGUAUUCCUGUUAUCUUUGCAUGAAGAUCAGGAUGAUAAGCACAGCAAUACUUUUACGACUGCCAUUGUAGAAUUAAAAAAAGAGAUUUUCGGUCAAGAUCGAGCUGUACAAAUCUUGAUUAAAUAUCUCCAGCAAGAUUCACCUUUUUUAAAGAUAAUAGCUCUCGUCGGUGGUACCGGUGUCGGUAAAUCAUACACGGUGGAAAUUAUAAGAAAGAAUUUUUAUGAAAAAAGUAAUAACCAUUUUUUUUCUUCGCGCGCCGAUUUGUUCAUCUUGGAAAAUUUGAGAGACGAACAUUUGUUAGAUGUUAUAAAAUUUGUAAAAAUGCAUCAAAAGACAUACGACAAUCGAUACGGUACUAUAUUUGUUGUUUUUAAUGUCGAGCAGAUGAACGAUAACUCGACGCGUAGUAUAGAUCUAAAUAAAAGUAUAAACAUAAUGAAAAAUACUUUUGCCAACGCAAAUCUCGACAUUAAAAUUAUUCCUUAUGAAUCCUUGAGCGAGGAUGCUUUAGAAAAAUGCAUUAAAAAAAUUGCGAAAAAUGUUAAAUUAACUCUCUCUCAAGAUCAGAUCGUUCUUAUUAAACGACAAUUGAUAGAAAAUAAUACCGGUUGUAAAGGAGCCUAUGGCAAAAUUCAGGUGAUUGGUAGACAAUAAAGAGAUUAUACGUAA